rnacentral:rRNA from 1 species
GUCUAAGGCCAUGCCACUCUGAACAAGCCCAAUGUCUGAUCUCGGAAGCUAAGCAGUGUAGGGCCUGGUUAAUACUUGGAUGGGAGACCACCUAGGAAGACCAGGUGUUGUAGGAA